rnacentral:lncRNA from 1 species
CCAUUCAAAUCCACCACAAAUACAUUGCCUCUACCUUCAUCCACUUCAAAUUUGUCUCCUCCAGACCAUGUAGCUACAGUGUGUGAGCUUUUCAGUUUGUACUCCUCCAACUUCUUCUGGAUUUUUGGGCAGAUAGCUCCUUUAUCCUUCCUCAUUGCAUCUCUUCUCAACCAUAUCCUCUUUAUCAAUAAAACUCUUAUAGUUUCCAGCAUGGUAAUAAUAGGCUUGUCCCUAGACCUUAGGAUAAAAGAAUUGAAGCUCUCAUAGAGGUUGUUUAACAGAAUGUCACACUGAGUGUGUGUCUCAAAGUGUGACCUACUUCAAUGCAAGGCUGGUCUCUUCUCCAACCAUUUAUAAGCUUUUUCAUUCAGCCUAUUCACCUCAGCCAUACUCUCCCUAAAAUCAGCGAUGGUUGUUGCCUUGGCAGCAUUCCAC